rnacentral:rRNA from 1 species
CUCAGAUUGAACGCUGGCGGCAUGCCUUACACAUGCAAGUCGAACGGCAGCACGGGAGCAAUCCUGGUGGCGAGUGGGCGAACGGGUGAGUAAUAUAUCGGAACGUGCCCGGUCGUGGGGGAUAACGUAGCGAAAGCUACGCUAAUACCGCAUACGAUCUACGGAUGAAAGCGGGGGAUCGCAAGACCUCGCGCGAUUGGAGCGGCCGAUAUCAGAUUAGGUAGUUGGUGAGGUAAAGGCUCACCAAGCCGACGAUCUGUAGCUGGUCUGAGAGGACGACCAGCCACACUGGGACUGAGACACGGCCCAGACUCCUACGGGAGGCAGCAGUGGGGAAUUUUGGACAAUGGGCGCAAGCCUGAUCCAGCAAUGCCGCGUGAGUGAUGAAGGCCUUAGGGUUGUAAAGCUCUUUUACCCGAGAUGAUAAUGACAGUAUCGGGAGAAUAAGCACCGGCUAACUACGUG